CCUACGGGAGGCAGCAGUGGGGAAUAUUGGACAAUGGGGGGAACCCUGAUCCAGCCAUGCCGCGUGUGUGAAGAAGGCCCUCGGGUUGUAAAGCACUUUCAGUGAGGAAGAACGCCUGGUGGUUAAUACCCAUCAGGAAAGACAUCACUCACAGAAGAAGCACCGGCUAACUCCGUGCCAGCAGCCGCGGUAAUACGGAGGGUGCGAGCGUUAAUCGGAAUUACUGGGCGUAAAGCGCGCGUAGGUGGCUUGAUAAGCCGGUUGUGAAAGCCCCGGGCUCAACCUGGGAACGGCAUCCGGAACUGUCAAGCUAGAGUGCAGGAGAGGAAGGUAGAAUUCCCGGUGAAGCGGUGAAAUGCGUAGAGAUCGGGAGGAAUACCAGUGGCGAAGGCGGCCUCCUGGACUGACACUGACACUGAGGUGCGAAAGCGUGGGUAGCAAACAGGAUUAGAUACCCGAGUAGUC
rnacentral:rRNA from 1 species